UACGAAGGGGGCUAGCGUUGCUCGGAAUCACUGGGCGUAAAGCGCACGUAGGCGGAUUGUUAAGUCAGGGGUGAAAUCCUGGAGCUCAACUCCAGAACUGCCUUUGAUACUGGCAAUCUCGAGUCCGGGAGAGGUGAGUGGAACUCCGAGUGUAGAGGUGAAAUUCGUAGAUAUUCGCAAGAACACCAGUGGCGAAGGCGGCUCACUGGCCCGAUACUGACGCUGAGGCACGAAAGCGAUGGGG
rnacentral:rRNA from 1 species